rnacentral:rRNA from 1 species
UACAUACUGUGCGAACGUUAUUCGGAUUUACUGGGCUUAAAGGGUGCGUAGGCGGCUUGUUAAGUAGGGUGUGAAAGCCCCCAGCUCAACUGGGGAAUUGCACUCUAUACUGAUGAGCUAGAGUGAGAUAGGGGUGUGUGGAACUGCCAGUGGAGCGGUGAAAUGUGUUGAUAUUGGCAGGAACGCCGGUGGCGAAAGCGACACACUGGGUCUCAACUGACGCUGAGGCACGAAAGCCAGGGGAGCGAACGGG